GGCACACCGCGGCGCGCCUCCAUCCUCUCAGCAAUCGCCACCGUCAAGCACCCAGCUCGUGACCGGUGUAUUCACAGCACAGAGACGCGCAUCAGACCUCCGAUGUCGACCAUUUUCACUAUUCUGAUGCUGCUGCUGGCCACCCUGAGUAUGGUCAGCGGCCGCUGCCCGGACAACUGCCCAGAAAACUUCCACUGUCGGCUUAACAAACAUUGUUACCCGGAUAUCGACUUCGGUGACACGUACCGACACAUCUGCUGCCCGGGACGUCAUGGUCGAUGAACUCAUGGAUGUGACUUG